AUUAUAAAUUUAAAAAGGGAUAAUUGCCUAUAUACCCCUUAAAAUUUCAGAAAUAUCUUAUUGGCCCCUAUUUUUUUUUCUUUCUAAUAUAUCCCUCAUAUGUUCCUCCGUUAUUCCAAAAUAUUUCUACAGUCCGUUAAGUUAACUUGAGUUAAACAUGAGUUAAAUAUCUAUUAGAGUAAAAAAAAAUCAAAAUGCCUCUUUUGUUCUUAACUUAAGAGCAAAUAAAAAAUAUUCGUGAUGGUAGAGAGAUAUAUUUGAAAAGAUCAAAAGUCAAAAUACUUUUUGUACCCGCGACUUAAGGGCAAAUAAGAAAAGUCAGGAUGGUGGAAAGGGAUAUUUGAAAAGGCAAAAUAGUAAUUUUAUACAGAUAAUAGCUAUUGCUAAUAGUUUAUUAACAGAAUUUAACUUUAGUGAUAUAUUGGAAAGAGGUUGGAACAUAAAGAGGGUAUUUUCAAUAAUAACCUUCUAAGAAGGGUAAAUUCGAAAGUCGGAAAUUUUUGGGGAGUACAUAUAUAAGCAAUUGCCCCAUUUAAAAAUAUGCGAAAAAGAAAGUUGUUGAAGUGUCUUUUGAUUUGAAUUUUGAUGGAACUUUAUAGCAACUAGAAGGAUGAU
rnacentral:lncRNA from 1 species